GAUCAUGACUCAGGAUGAACGCUAGCGGCGGGCUUAACACAUGCAAGUCGAGGGGCAGCAUAAUGGAUAGCAAUAUCUAUGGUGGCGACCGGCGCACGGGUGCGUAACGCGUAUGCAACCUACCUUUAACAGGGGGAUAACACUGAGAAAUUGGUACUAAUACCCCAUAAUAUCAUAGAAGGCAUCUUUUAUGGUUGAAAAUUCCGAUGGUUAGAGAUGGGCAUGCGUUGUAUUAG
rnacentral:rRNA from 1 species